rnacentral:rRNA from 1 species
GGAUGCGAUCAUACCCGCACUAAAGCACUGGAUCCCGAAGUUAAGCGUGCUUGGGCGAGAGUAGUACUAGGAUAGGUGAUCUCCUGGGAAGUCCUCGUAUUGCAUUCC